UAUAAGACGUGGGAUUGACCNACUGAGUGAAAGCCGCCGCGGUAAUACGGAGGGUGCAAGCGUUAUCCGGAUUCACUGGGUUUAAAGGGUGCGUAGGAGGGCAGGUAAGUCAGUGGUGAAAUCUCCAAGCUUAACUUGGAANCUGCCGCUGAUACUAUCUGUCUUGAAUACCGUGGAGGUGAGCGGANUAUGUCAUUUAGCGGUG
rnacentral:rRNA from 1 species